rnacentral:rRNA from 1 species
UGGGGAAUAUUGCACAAUGGGGGAAACCCUGAUGCAGCCAUGCCGCGUGUGUGAAGAAGGCCUUCGGGUUGUAAAGCACUUUCAGCGAGGAGGAAAGGUUGGCAGCUAAUAUCUGUCAGCUGUGACGUUACUCGCAGAAGAAGCACCGGCUAACUCCGUGCCAGCAGCCGCGGUAAUACGGAGGGUGCAAGCGUUAAUCGGAAUUACUGGGCGUAAAGCGCACGCAGGCGGUUGGAUAAGUUAGAUGUGAAAGCCCCGGGCUCAACCUGGGAAUUGCAUUUAAAACUGUUCAGCUAGAGUCUUGUAUAGGGGGGUAGAAUUCCAGGUGUAGCGGUGAAAUGC